GCUUGUCUCAAAGAUUAAGCCAUGCAUGUCUUAGUGUAAAUAACUCUUAUGAAACUGCGAAUGGCUCAUUAAAACAGUUAUAGUUUAUUUGAUACAUUAUAAAUGGAUAACUGUAGAAACACUAGAGCUAAUACAUGCCAAGACCGUAAGGUCGUAUUUAUUAGAUAUUCCAAGUAGGUGAUUCAUAAUAACUUCGCAAAUCUCAGUUAUACUGAGAUAAAUCAUUCAAGUUUCUGCCCUAUCAUGCUCUCGAUGGUAGUGUAUUGGACUACCAUGGCUCUCACGGGUAACGGGGAAUUAGGGUUCGAUUCCGGAGAAGGAGCCUGAGAAACGGCUACUACAUCUAAGGAAGGCAGCAGG
rnacentral:rRNA from 1 species